rnacentral:rRNA from 1 species
GAUGAACGCUGGCGGCGUGCCUAAUACAUGCCAGUCGAGCGAACAGACGAGGAGCUUGCUCCUCUGACGUUAGCGGCGGACGGGUGAGUAACACGUGGAUAACCUACCUAUAAGACUGGGAUAACUUCGGGAAACCGGAGCUAAUACCGGAUAAUAUAUUGAACCGCAUGGUUCAAUAGUGAAAGACGGUUUUGCUGUCACUUAUAGAUGGAUCCGCGCCGCAUUAGCUAGUUGGUAAGGUAACGGCUUACCAAGGCAACGAUGCGUAGCCGACCUGAGAGGGUGCUCGGCCAUACUGGAACUGAGACACGGUCCAGACUCCUACGGGAGGCAGCAGUAGGGAAUCUUCCGCAAUGGGCGAAAGCCUGACGGAGCAACGCCGCGUGAGUGAUGAAGGUCUUCGGAUCGUAAAACUCUGUUAUUAGGGAAGAACAAAUGUGUAAGUAACUAUGCACGUCUUGACGGUACCUAUCAGAAAGCCACGGCUAACUACGUG